UAGCAAUGACGCUCCUUUGUGCUAUUGUUAUGCACAAAUGACACAACAAUAGCACAAAGGAGCGUCACUGCCACAAU
rnacentral:pre_miRNA from 1 species